UGUUAACAGUCAUGUCUCUGGUUCUUAUACUAGGUAGAGGAGAGAGUCAACACGUUAACAGUCAUGUCUCUGGUUCUUAUACUAGGUAGAGUCAACACGUUAACAGUCAUGUCUCUGGUUCUUAUACUAGGUAGAGGAGAGAGUCAACACGUUAACAGUCAUGUCUCUGGUUCUUAUACUAGGUAGAGGAGAGAGUCAACAUGUUAACAGUCAUGUCUCUGGUUCUUAUACUAGGUAGAGUCAACAUGUUAACAGUCAUGUCUCUGGUUCUUAUACUAGGUAGAGUCAACAUGUUAACAGUCAUGUCUCUGGUUCUUAUACUAGGUAGAGGAGAGAGUCAACAUGUUAACAGUCAUGUCUCUGGUUCUUAUACUAGGUAGAGGAGAGAGUCAACAUGUUAACAGUCAUGUCUCUGGUUCUUAUACUAGGUAGAGUCAACAUGUUAACAGUCAUGUCUCUGGUUCUUAUACUAGGUAGAGUCAACAUGUUAACAGUCAUGUCUCUGGUUCUUAUACUAGGUAGAGGAGAGAGUCAACAUGUUAACAGUCAUGUCUCUGGUUCUUAUACUAGGUAGAGGAGAGAGUCAACAUGUUAACAGUCAUGUCUCUGGUUCUUAUACUAGGUAGAGGAGAGAGUCAACAUGUUAACAGUCAUGUCUCUGGUUCUUAUACUAGGUAGAGGAGAGAGUCAACAUGUUAACAGUCAUGUCUCUGGUUCUUAUACUAGGUAGAGUCAACAUGUUAACAGUCAUGUCUCUGGGUCUUAUACUAGGUAGAGGAGAGAGUCAACAUGUUAACAGUCAUGUCUCUGGUUCUUAUACUAGGUAGAGGAGAGAGUCAACACGUUAACAGUCAUGUCUCUGGUUCUUAUACUAGGUAGAGGAGAGAGUCAACACGUUAACAGUCAUGUCUCUGGUUCUUAUACUAGGUAGAGGAGAGAGUCAACACGUUAACAGUCAUGUCUCUGGUUCUUAUACUAGGUAGAGGAGAGAGUCAACAUGUUAACAGUCAUGUCUCUGGUUCUUAUACUAGGUAGAGGAGAGAGUCAACAUGUUAACAGUCAUGUCUCUGGUUCUUAUACUAGGUAGAGGAGAGAGUCAACAUGUUAACAGUCAUGUCUCUGGUUCUUAUACUAGGUAGAGGAGAGAGUCAACACGUUAACAGUCAUGUCUCUGGUUCUUAUACUAGGUAGAGGAGAGAGUCAACAUGUUAACAGUCAUGUCUCUGGUUCUUAUACUAGGUAGAGUCAACAUGUUAACAGUCAUGUCUCUGGUUCUUAUACUAGGCAAGUCAGUUAAGAACAAAUUCUUAUUUACAAUGACCCCCCCCCCGUGCCAAACCCAG